GCACAAGCAGCGGAGCGUGUGGUUUAAUUCGAUGCUACACGAAGAACCUUACCAGGGUUUGACAUACAAGUGGUAGAGAAGCGAAAGCGGACGACCUUCGGGAGCUUUGUACAGGUGCUGCAUGGCUGUCGUCAGCUCGUGUCGUGAGAUGUUGGGUUAAGUCCCGCAACGAGCGCAACCCUUAUCAUUAGUUGCUACGCAAGGGCACUCUAAUGAGACUGCCGGUGACAAACCGGAGGAAGGUGGGGAUGACGUCAAGUCCUCAUGGCCCUUAUGGGUAGGGCUUCACACGUCAUACAAUGGUCGGUACAGAGGGUUGCCAAGCCGCGAGGCGGAGCCAAUCCCACAAAGCCGAUCGUAGUCCGGAUUGUUCUCUGCAACUCGAGAGCAUGAAGUCGGAAUCGCUAGUAAUCGCAGGUCAGCAUACUGCGGUGAAUACGUUCCCGGGUCUU
rnacentral:rRNA from 1 species